rnacentral:rRNA from 1 species
GACGAACGCUGGCGGCGUGCUUAACACAUGCAAGUCGAACGGAAAGGCCCUGCUUUUGUGGGGUGCUCGAGUGGCGAACGGGUGAGUAACACGUGAGUAACCUGCCCUUGACUUUGGGAUAACUUCAGGAAACUGGGGCUAAUACCGGAUAGGAGCUCCUGCUGCAUGGUGGGGGUUGGAAAGUUUCGGCGGUUGGGGAUGGACUCGCGGCUUAUCAGCUUGUUGGUGGGGUAGUGGCUUACCAAGGCUUUGACGGGUAGCCGGCCUGAGAGGGUGACCGGCCACAUUGGGCCUGAGAUACGGCCCAGACUCCUACGGGAGGCAGCAGUGGGGAAUAUUGCACAAUGGGCGGAAGCCUGAUGCAGCAACGCCGCGUGCGGGAUGACGGCCUUCGGGUUGUAAACCGCUUUCGCCUGUGUCGAAGCGUGAGUGACGGUAAUGGGUAAAGAAGCACCGGCUAACUACGUG